UGCUCACCGAAAAUUGGAGCCGACGACGCUGCUAAAGCUUAAGGUAAGCCCUUCUCCUUUUUCUCUCCCUCUUUCCAUUCUUUCUAUGCUACUGCGCAUGGCCGCCGACCAUCGGGUUCAUUGAAAAACCCACAAAAAGGGAGGCCCUGUUUUUCCCUUAUUCGGUCGAGCCAUUUUCUUCUCUUUUUCGGCCACCAGUGCCGCCGCCCAUGGUGCCGCAC
rnacentral:lncRNA from 1 species